rnacentral:rRNA from 1 species
GGCAGACGGGAGAGUAACACGUGGGAACGUACCCUUCGGUUCGGAAUAACCCAGGGAAACUUGGGCUAAUACCGGAUACGUCCGCGAGGAGAAAGAUUCAUCGCCGGAGGAUCGGCCCGCGUCCGAUUAGCUAGUUGGUGAGGUAAUGGCUCACCAAGGCGACGAUCGGUAGCUGGUCUGAGAGGAUGAUCAGCCUCACUGGGACUGAGACACGGCCCAGACUCCAUACGGGAGGCAGCAGUGGGGAAUAUUGGACAAUGGGCGCAAGCCUGAUCCAGCCAUGCCGCGUGGGUGAUGAAGGCCUUAGGGUUGUAAAGCCCUUUCGGCGGGGAAGAUAAUGACGGUACCCGCAGAAGAAGCCCCGGCUAACUUCGUGCCAGCAGCCGCGG